UGUCUUGCAGGCCGUCAUG
rnacentral:piRNA from 1 species